ACUAUUCCAAGUUGCCUCUAGCAAGUGUAAAGUUUCUGUUAAUCAUCAGUUUCAUUCACACCAAAAGGAAGGAGUGAACUGCCAACUUCAAAGGCACACAGGGGAGUGAGUUGAGACUUGAGACAGACAACGAAACAUUGCAUUGAACUCUCUGAUGAAAGAUGAACACCACGGGCAGGCGUUUAUUCGAGGCGGCUGGCAUGAACCAGCAAGCAGCACUGCCCAAGACCUCACGAAUGUGCCGAGACAUCAAAUCGCACACCCCACGACAGACAGACCAAAUGGAAACUACGGUAGACAAAUCAUAGCGCAGCCGACACUUCACCCUCCUGCUCGAUGAAUGCGCCCUCUUCAUGCCCCGAAUCCGCGCUAGUUGCCGCUGCUCUCGCCGUCGACCGCCAAUGGAACUGCAGCAGCCUGAAUUCAACAAAACAUACAAACCCUAAGUAAGCAUACUGAAGUGGACACUGAUAUAUGUUCCUCUCUGUUGGUCAGAUAACCUACCAGGCUGCGGUACUUGAGAGCGUAGAACAUCUCCAGGUAACGGCGAGUCUCGCGCCUCUCCAGGUUGCUCACGUACUUCCAGAACCCAUACACACCGGUCAGGGUCAUCAGCCUCUCUGAGUAGAGCUUCCAGGUGUACCUGAGCAUUCAGAAAUUAUAGGAUCAACAUUUGUUCAGGGACAUGACUUGGAACUAUCCUGGCACAACAAGAAGAGAAU
rnacentral:lncRNA from 1 species